CCACAGUACGGCAGGGUAAGACCAUUGAGCUUGUACAAGCCAGGACUGGAAAAUGAGGCUCAAGAUAUUUCUCCUUGUUCUUGCUGUACUUGCGGCAUCUGCGCAAGAAGUUGAWGAACAAAAUGCUGAACCGGCUGAAGGACUGGAAGUAGAAGAUGAUAUUGAAAAAAGGGAUGUACCUGAACUGGAAGGAUUCGAGGAAGAAGACGACAGAGAAAGAAGAGAUGCACCAGAAGAAGAAGAAG